GCCUGGGUGGCUCAGUCGGUUAAGCGUCCGACUUCGGCUCAGGUCAUGAUCUCGCGGUCCGUGGGUUCGAGCCCCACGUCGGGCU
rfam:Felis catus isolate Cinnamon breed Abyssinian chromosome C1, whole genome shotgun sequence.